rnacentral:rRNA from 1 species
CCUCCAAUCAGUCAAGAAUACCCGCUGAAUUUAAGCAUAUCAGUAAGCGGAGGAAAUGAAUCUAACAAGGAUUCCCUCAGUAACGGCGAGUGAAGCGGGAAAAGCUCAGACUGAAAAUCUUCGGAGUUGUAGUCUGGAGAAGCCAGGUCAGCUUUAAGUUUCGGAUAAAGUCUCUUGGAACAGAGCGCCGUGGAGGGUGAUAGCCCCGUUCAUGUCUGAAACGAAAGGUGUACGACCGGCUUUCUAAGAGUCGAGUUGUUUGGGAUUGCAGCUCUAAGUGGGUGGUAAAUUCCAUCUAAAGCUAAAUAUAAAUGGGAGACCGAUAGCGAACAAGUACCGUGAGGGAAAGAUGCAAAGAACUUUGAAAAGAGAGUUAAACAGUACCUGAAAUUGCUGAAAUGGAACCGAUGGGAAGCAGU